rnacentral:rRNA from 1 species
GAUUUUUUUUUUCAGUGAGCAAUUCACAGGCUAACAAGCGACUGAUGCACAUGCGGGCGGGCUAUGAUGCUACUAUGCAUGUACUGUGCAGGUUGCAGAGUAUCGUGGUACUUCAUUGAGAGAGAAGCGGAGGAAAUAGGAUGUCUAUCAUCAGACGGGCUUACUGUCGCUUCAAGGGCGCGAGUAGGAGUAUUCCACAGGAUCACAAGACCCAGGUAGUUCGUUUUAUAAUCGAUAUAGACAGGAGUUUGUCAUGUUAUAAUGGCAGGAUCUUCAGAGAAAUCAUAGUUCAUGAGUUCUGGGGGAAUUGCGAGCUCAUGGAUGAAGAUUGAAGGAAGUAGUAGAAGGGCACGCCAGGGGUGGAGCCGGUGGGAUAAUGUGAAUCAACACGGGGAAACUUAGCAGGACCAGAUGUUUUCUAUGACUUACAGCCUUUGGCUCUUUCAGGAUAUAACAUCAGAUGGAGCAUUGUCGUUGGUGGUGCGAGGGGGGGCCUCUUUAGCGCUGAUUCAUCUAGCGAGAGAGAUUAUCCCCAAUUAUAUACUACGCCUUGGUUUCAAGGUUCAUAAAAAGUAAUUUUAAUAGGGACUCCCUGCGAUUUUAGCAGGUGGAAGAGGGUAGCAAUAUCAGGUCCGUGACGUCCUUUAGAUGCUCUGGGCCGCACGCGUGUUACCAUGUUAGGAUCAAUCGGAAAGUAUCCUGAAAGGGUGCGCACUCUGAUAAUUCCUAACGUAGGUGGGUAAGACGUUCCAAUCAGCAGCAUGAUCCAGGAAUCCCUUGUAAAUACAGUCACCAACGCGCGCCGAAUCCGUGCCUGCCCUUUGUACACACCCCCCGUCUCUCGUGUCGAAGGAGAUUCGCGAAAGCACAGGCUACCUCCGGAAGAAGCGAUAAGUCACGUCC